rnacentral:rRNA from 1 species
UACGUAGGUGGCAAGCGUUGUCCGGAUUUAUUGGGUUUAAAGGGUGCGUAGGCGGUUCUAUAAGUCAGUGGUGAAAUCCGGCAGCUCAACUGUCGAUGUGCCAUUGAUACUGCAGAACUUGAGUACAGACGAGGUAGGCGGAAUUGACGGUGUAGCGGUGAAAUGCUUAGAUAUCGUCAAGAACACCGAUAGCGAAGGCAGCUUACUAGGCUGUAACUGACGCUGAUGCACGAAAGUGUGGGGAUCAAACAGG